CAUGCUUACGCGUCGAACUGUGGAAUCGCGAUCUCUUCAGUCCGAGCCCAUGUCCUCUCUUUUGGGUCAUGGGCGAAGGUCGAGUUCCUGUGUUGCAAACCCACUAAAGUGGAAAACGGUUGCGUUGCGUUUUAUUUUUCGCCUCAUGCCCGUUAAGGGUGCUGUGGUGAACGUGGUUGCGCCUCUUCUGCUCCAAACAUGCUGGUCCAGCUGUUGUGGUGCACUAGAAAGGUUGCUCGUGCUUUGGGAUGCGGAAAACCUUAUGUAGCGGGAGGGAUCGCAUCCCUCCAUCGCUCAAAAACGUCCGUGAUAUUCGAACGACGCACAACGCUCGUCUCUCUCCCCUCGAACAUGCUAGAACUUUGGCUUGUCGGGGAUCGG
rnacentral:misc_RNA from 1 species